rnacentral:rRNA from 1 species
UACGAAGGGGGCUAGCGUUGCUCGGAAUUACUGGGCGUAAAGGGCGCGUAGGCGGAUACUUAAGUUGGGGGUGAAAGCCCGGGGCUCAACCUCGGAAUUGCCUUCAAUACUGGGUAUCUUGAGUUCGGGAGAGGUGAGUGGAACUCCGAGUGUAGAGGUGAAAUUCGUAGAUAUUCGGAAGAACACCAGUGGCGAAGGCGACUCACUGGCCCGAUACUGACGCUGAGGCGCGAAAGCGUGGGGAGCAAACAGG